rnacentral:rRNA from 1 species
UAAAGAUUUUAAGGGCGUACGGUGGAUGCCUUGGCGAUAUCAGCCGAAGAAGGACGCGGUAAGCUGCGAUAAGCUACGGAGAGAUGCAAGCAAUCUUUGACCCGUAGAUUUCCGAAUGGGGGAACCCGGCAGUGGUUAUGCACUGUCACCCAUAGCUUAGACUAUGAGGAGGGCACCUGGGGAACUGAAACAUCUAAUUACCCAGAGGAAAAGUAAUCAAACGAGAUUUUCUUAGUAGCGGCGAGCGAACGGGAAAGAGGCCAAACCGGAGCGGGCAACCGCACCGGGGUUGAGGACAGUCAUCAAGUGUAAAUGAGGUAGAAGAAUCGAGUUGGAAAGCUCAGCCGAAGAAGGUGAAAGCCCUGUAAUCGAAACCUUGCAUACAUGGGACUGUAUCCAGAGUACCACGAGACACGUGAAACCUUGUGGGAAGCAGGGGGGACCACCCUCCAAGCCAAAAUACUGAUAUCGACCGAUAGCGCAUAGUACCGUGAGGGAAAGGUGAAAAGAACCCCUGGCGGGGAGUGAAAGAGAACCUGAAACCGUAUGUCUACAAACAGUCGAAGUCUGUAUAUAUAUCAGGACGACGGCGUGCCUAUUGAAGAAUGAACCGACGAGUUACUGUUGCUAGCGAGGUUAAGUGGAAAACAUGGAGCCGCAGCGAAAGCGAGUCUGAACAGGGCGUUCAGUUAGUAAUAGUAGACCCGAAACCGUAGUGAUCUAUCCAUGGCCAGGUUGAAGCACAGGUAAAAUUGUGUGGAGGACCGAACUCGUGAGCGUUGAAAAGCUUUGGGAUGAGUUGUGGAUAGGGGUGAAAUGCCAAUCGAACACGGAGAUAGCUGGUUCUCCCCGAAAUAGCUUUAGGGCUAGCCUCGAGGUUGAGAGUAUAGGCGGUAGAGCACUGAUCGGGCUAGGGGCCAUACCGGUUACCGAACCUAGUCAAACUACGAAUGGCUAUACUUAUACUCGGGAGUCAGACAGUGAAUGAUAAGGUCCAUUGUCAAGAGGGAAACAGCCCAGAACACCGACUAAGGUCCCAAAUGUUACACUAAGUGGCGAAGGAUGUGGAGUUUCCAAAACAACCAGGAUGUUGGCUUAGAAGCAGCCACCAUUUAAAGAGUGCGUAAUAGCUCACUGGUCGAGAGACUCUGCGCCGAAGAUGUCCGGGGCUAAAGUGUAAAACCGAAGUCGUGUCAUAUGCAGCAAUGUAUAUGGGUAGGGGAGCGUUCUCAUCGGGCUGAAGCAGUACCGUAAGGAGUUGUGGACUGAUGAGAAGUGAGAAUGUCGGUAUGAGUAGCGAAAAGAAUGGUGAGAAUCCAUUCCACCGAAAGCCUAAGGGUUCCUGAGCAACGAUCGUCGUCUCAGGGUAAGUCGGGACCUAAGCCGAGGCGGAAAAGCGUAGGCGAUGGACAACAGGUUGAAAUUCCUGUACCGGUGUGAAUCGUUUGAUCGAUGGAGUGACACAGUAAGGUAGGUCAGCACGCGAUUGGAAGAGCGUGUUUAAGCAGGUAGGUUGAGCUAUAGGCAAAUCCGUAGCUCUAAAAGCUGAGAUGUGAUGACGAGUUACUAGCGAUAGUAACGAAGUGAUUGAUCCUACACUGUCGAGAAAAGCUUCUAGGUAGAGACACAUCGCCCGUACCAAAACCGACACAGGUAGGCGGGGAGAGAAUCCUAAGGUGCGCGGGAAAACCCUCGUUAAGGAACUCGGCAAAAUGCCUCCGUAACUUCGGGAAAAGGAGGACUCAUGUAGUGUGAAGAGCAGCAACGCUUGGAGCAUGAAUGAGUGGCACAAGAGAGGCGCAAGCGACUGUUUACCACAAACACAGGUGCCUGCUAAAGCGAAAGCUGAUGUAUAGGUGCUGACACCUGCCCGGUGCUGGAAGGUUAAGAGGAGGGGUUAGACUUCGGUCGAAGCUCUGAAUUGAAGCCCCAGUAAACGGCGGCCGUAACUAUAACGGUCCUAAGGUAGCGAAAUUCCUUGUCGGGU